UACGUAGGGUGCGAGCGUUGUCCGGAAUUUAUUGGGGCGUAAAGAGCUUGUAGGCGGUUUGUCGCGUCUGCUGUGAAAAUCCGGGGCUCAACCCCGGACUUGCAGUGGGUACGGGCAGACUAGAGUGUGGUAGGGGAGACUGGAAUUCCUGGUGUAGCGGUGGAAAUGCGCAGAUAUCAGGAGGAACACCGAUGGCGAAGGCAGGUCUCUGGGCCACUACUGACGCUGGAGAAGCGAAA
rnacentral:rRNA from 1 species